rnacentral:rRNA from 1 species
AUGAUCAUCACUGGCGACGAUCUUGAGUACAUUGCCUUUGUCAAGGCCCGUCUCAAUGAGCAGUUUCUUAUGUCUGAUCUUGGUCCUCUUCGUUACUUUCUUGGGAUUGAGGUUUCCUCCACCUCUGAUGCCUUUUUUAUUUCCCAAGAAAAGUAUAUCCAGGAUCUUCUUGCUCGGGCGGCUCUUAGUGAUGAGCGCACUGUUGAGACUCCUAUGGAGCUUAAUGUUCACCUUCGUGCUUUUGACUGUGAGCCCUUGUCUGAUCCGACUCGUUGUCGUCAUCUUGUUGGCAGUCUUGUCUAUCUCGCCGUCACUCGUCCAGAUAUCUCCUAUCCUGUCCAUAUCCCGAGUCAGUUUGUUUCUUCUCCCACUUCGGUUCACUAUAGUCACCUUCUUCGUGUUCUACGAUAUCUUCGUGGCACGAUCUCUCACCGUCUCUUCUUUCCUCGUUCCAGCUCGUUACAGCUCCAGGCCUAUUCUGAUGCUACCUGGGCUAGUGAUCCUUCGGAUCGUCGUUCACUUUCUGCUUAUUGUGUUUUUCUUGGUGGUUCUCUCAUUGCCUGGAAGACAAAGAAACAGACUGCAGUUUCCCGUUCGAGUGCUGAGGCUGAGUUGCGAGCUAUGGUUCUUCUCACCGCAGAGGUGACUUGGUUACGCUGGUUACUCGAGGAUUUUGGUGUUUCUAUUACUACACCUACUACACUCCUGUCAGACAGUACAGGUGCUAUCAGUAUCGCGCGGGACCCAGUGAAGCAUGAGCUUACCAAGCAUAUUGGUGUUGAUGCUUUCUUUGUGCGCGCUGCUGUGCAGGAUCAUGUUGUUGCUCUUCAGUAUGUUCCUUCUGAGUUACAGCUAGCGGACUUCUUCACGAAGGCCCAGACUAGAGCGCAACAUGGAUUUUACCUCUCCAAACUCAGUGUUGCAGAUCCACCAUGA